CGCGAAAAUAGUUGAGCUAAGUAAUAGUUAAUUAUUAGAUUUUUUUAUGUAGCAUAAUAUUAUUAAAUAGUUACUUAGGAGUGAUAGGCCUUUCAAAUCUAUAGAUAUCUCGAUACUUUUUAUAUACAUGUAGUGUAUAAGACAGCUGAAUAGUAAUAAGGCUAUUUAGUUUCAUAAAAUGAUUUUUUUUUAAUUUAUUACGGUUUAAUCGUCUAAUAUUAAAGCGUGCUAAUACUUUUUUAUUAAACUUAUGUUUUCUUAAAGUGUACCAUGGAAAUAAUGAUAAGUGUUAAUAAUGUAAUUAUUAGUAUCUUAAUGGCUAUAAAACAUGAACUCGGCAACAUACCUUUCAACUGUUUACCAAAAACAUAGCUGUGAGAAUAUAUUCGCAGUAAUUUCUGCUCAAUGAUUUAUUAAAUAGCCGCAGUACUCUGACUGUGCAAAGGUAGCAUAAUAAUUUGACUUAUAAUUGAAGUCUGGUAUGAAUGAAUAUAUGGGGGGUAUCUUUAUUUUUUGUAUAAAGUGAAUUUAAUUAUUAAGUGCAAAUUCUUAUAAAUACAAGAUAGACGAGAAGACCCUAGAAAUUUUUAUAAUAUUGAAGAAUUUUUUUUUGUUGGGGCAACAAAGUAACAAGUAACUUACUGUAUUGUACAAGAAUAUAUAUAUGAUAGAUUAAAUUACUCUAGGGAUAACAGCGUAAUUUAAAAAAGUUUGCGACCUCGAUGUUGGACUAGGAAACAAAUGCUUAGAA
rnacentral:rRNA from 1 species